rnacentral:rRNA from 1 species
GUGGGGAAUCUUAGACAAUGGGGGAAACCCUGAUCUAGCCAUGCCGCGUGAGCGAUGAAGGCCUUAGGGUUGUAAAGCUCUUUCAGCUGGGAAGAUAAUGACGGUACCAGCAGAAGAAGCCCCGGCUAACUCCGUGCCAGCAGCCGCGGUAAUACGGAGGGGGCUAGCGUUGUUCGGAAUUACUGGGCGUAAAGCGCACGUAGGCGGAUCAGAAAGUCAGAGGUGAAAUCCCAGGGCUCAACCUUGGAACUGCCUUUGAAACUCCUGGUCUUGAGGUCGAGAGAGGUGAGUGGAAUUCCGAGUGUAGAGGUGAAAUUCGUAGAUAUUCGGAGGAACACCAGUGGCGAAGGCGGCUCACUGGCUCGAUACUGACGCUCAUGUGCGAAAGCUAGGGCAGCGAACGGGAUUAGAAACCCGGGUAGUCC